rnacentral:rRNA from 1 species
AUUGAACGCUUGCGGCAUGCUUAACACAUGCAAGUCGAACGGUAACAGGCCUAGCUUGCUAGGUGCUGACGAGUGGCGGACGGGUGAGUAACGCGUAGGAAUCUACCUUAUAGUGGGGGAUAACCUGGGGAAACCCAGGCUAAUACCGCAAGUUUCUCAAGAGAUAAAGCAGGGGACCUUCGGGCCUUGUGCUAUAAGAUUAGCCUGCGUCGGAUUAGCUAGUUGGUGGGGUAAAGGCCUACCAAGGCGACGAUCCGUAGCUGGUCUGAGAGGACGACCAGCCACACUGGGACUGAGACACGGCCCAGACUCCUACGGGAGGCAGCAGUGGGGAAUAUUGGACAAUGGGCGCAAGCCUGAUCCAGCAAUGCCGCGUGUGUGAAGAAGGCCUUCGGGUUGUAAAGCACUUUCAGUGGGGAGGAGGGACUUAAUCCUAAUAUGAUUAAGUAUUGACGUUACCUACAGAAGAAGCACCGGCUAACUCUGUGCCAGCCGCCGCGGUAA